rnacentral:lncRNA from 10 species
CUGCACUCCAGGUGGACAAUAACUCAAGGGGCAUGAGGAAUUCAAAGUGGACUAAAGGCAGUUUUAAUUGGGAAUUCAGUGGAACCAUUGUUGCUGUCUUCUUGUGGAGCAUUCUUCUCUUUGGAACUAACACCUCUAGACCAGCAGAGAAUAAAGCAACAGGGGCACGAAACAUAAAAUUUUGCUGGUAAAUCACUGAGGAUAAUAAAUCACUGCCACUUCCAUUUCCAUCCAUUGAUUUCUACACUCAUGAUUCCUGGCUAUGGGAGCAACAACACCAUAUACUGGAUGCUGCUUUAGAGCAAAGGGCCUCCUGGAGAACAUUGCCUCAGACUUGCAAGGUAUUGGCACCUGGGUGUCACUAUACUGAGUCUUCAAAAGGCUCUUCCACCAUUCUAUCAAGCCAUCUGCUUCAGGAUAAUGGGGAACAUGGUAUGACCAGUGAAUUCCAUGAGCAUGGGCACACUGCUGCACCUUGUUUCCUGUGAAGUGAGUUCUUUGAUCAGAAGCGAUGCUAUUGGAAAACCAUGAUGUUGAACAAGGGACCUGCCAAAGAUUCCAAAUAGAGUCACUAUUUGCCAAUAGCACUUCAAGCACCAUUGGAUCUGCUGAAUCAUAUAAUGGAAGUUGCAGAGCAGCUUGCACAGCAUCUUGGACUUGUUACAGAGCCUUCUCUUGUUCUGGGUGCCAUUCAAAGCUAGCUGUUUGUUGGGUCACUUGGUAAAUGGGCCAAACUAACAUACCCAAACAAGGAAUAUAUUGCCUCUAAAAUCGAAAGAGGCCAACUAAUCAUUAUGCCUCUUUUUCGGUUGUAGGAGAGGCCAGAAUGCAACAAAUUAUCCUUCACCUUAGAAGGGAUAACUCAGCAUGCCUCACACCAAUGGAACCCUAGAAAUUUCACUGAUGUGGAAGACCCUAAAUUUUUUUCAGAUAUAUUUCCCACCCUCAACAUGCAAAUAUGUUACAAAUAAGUCUAGAGUAGUUGCUACUUGUUGCUCACUAGGACCAAUCGGCAUAAUGUCACCAAUGUUAUGGACCCAUGUGAUAUCUUGUGGAAGAGAAAGAUAAAGUUUCUGAUAACAAAAUUAUGACAGAGGACUGGAGAGUUCAUAUAUCUCUGAUGUAGGAUAGUGAAGAAACAUUGCUGGAAUUGCCAGCCAAAAGCAAACUACUUCUUGUAGUCUUUACUAACAGUAUGGAGAGAAAAUGAAGUUCACCAGCUCAGUAGUUACAUACCAGGUGCCAGGGGGUGUGCUAAUUUGCUCAAGCAAGGAGAUCACAUCUGGAAUAGCAGCUGCAUUUGGAAUCACCAACUGGGUAAGUUUACAGUUACACAUGCUCAUCUGCCAAGAUCUAUCUGUUUUCUGUGCAGGUCAAGUGGGAAUAUGGUUGGAAUCACCACCCCUGCAUCCUUUCAUUUUAAAAUGUUGUCAUUAGUCUCUGGAAUCAUCCUCCCAGGAAGAUGGGACUGCUUUUGACUCACUAUUUUUAUAGGUAUAGACAGUUGUAGUGGCUUCCACUUGGCAUUGCUCACCAUAAUAACCAUCACUUCACAGGUCAGAAAACUGAUGUGGGGAUUCUGCCAGCUGCUGAUUGUGUUUAUUCCAAUUACGCAUUCUGGAACUGGGGAAAUCACCAUAGAAUAGGUGUGGGGACUCACUGUACCCACUGUGAGAUGAGUCUAAGAUAAAGCACCUGACUUUCAUGAUGUUGUGGCCAAAUAUCAUCUGGCCACAGUGAUAUUUUGAGUGUCUUAUAAUUGGUGUCAGUUCAGAGGCAGUGUUCUGUAAUUUCUUCAAAAUCUGAUUCUUUCCUUGUUCCCAGUGUACACUAACUAAUAUGGUAAAAGUAGGGUAGAGAAGGCUAAGAGAAAGAUUAACAGUAUACAUUUUUGGCAGUAUAGUGGUGCCCCUCCUCAAAGGGACCCAGUCUCCCCUUUGUUCAUGAGGUUCUGGGUCUGUUAACUGGCUUCAGUUUACGAGGCCAUGGCUCUCUAUGUUGAUGAUUCAAGUUAGACUUUUGUUCACUUGACCUAGUACCCUUCCACUUUGAUUAUAUCACUAUGCAAUCUAUGCAUGUCACAGAUUUACACAUGCACCCCAUAAAUUUAUUUUUAAAAGAUCAAGUAAGAUUAUAUACUGCUCAUCUAUUUGACUUCCAGGGACACCAUGAUCAAUUAGCCAAUGCCAUAGGUCUCUGCAAGUCAGACUAUGUUGAUUACUGCUCUGACUCUGCUGUCUGUUAUGGUAACCAUGCCCACCUUGUCUUUGGCAAUUAAGUGCUGUCACUUGGCCUUACCACCCUGCAAUUCAGUUAUCCCCAUUAGACUUAAGGAUCCCACCUCAGUUGUGGCCGUUAUCACUAUAAUGCUUUACCUCCAAAGAGCAACCUCCUAGCUCUUCAAGGAUGCUGGAGGUCCUCUCAUAAAUUUAUUCCUCACAGUCCUGGUAAAAGGUGUGUACUCUGGGAGGGCGAGCAGGUUUUACGUGGUAAAUACACUCUAACAUUUUACUCUCCUUAACCUUUAGAUACCUUCUUCUACAGUGUAUCAAAGUAGUUCUGGCAUAUAUCCUUCAUUUAAUACAGGACACCUUUUGUUCUGUGUUUCAGCCAGCUAAUCAAGUCAGACUAUUGGAGCCUUUCUAAUACCCUGAGCUGCAACAUUUAAUCCAUAAUCUCUGCUUAACAGACCAAUACCAAUACAUUUAUCCUCACCCAACUUCAUGUUUCUUUCACCAUUUUUCCACAUCCUUAAUAUCAAUUCCUACAAAUAUUCUCCUAAUCUCUGACUAUAUAAAUUGAAAACAUCAUAUAGUUCUAGAAUGCAGUGCAUCUCCUCAUGUCACACUUUGUAUCUAAUGUUUUGGGGCCUGUAGAGACUUGAGUCUAGUUAGAGGUCUAGAACCAAAGAUGGAUGGUGGCAGCAGAUUCUGAGAAGACCCAGCAGUGUCUUGCAAGAUAACUGCCUCAGGGUAAGCUGGCAGUUCCUCAGCAAAGCAGGAGUAAUCUUAUAUGGGGGAAGCACUGCUUCUACUUACAAAAAUGACUCAUCAGAAUUUAGGGGUUCAAGGGCCCCACUUUUAUCAGGAGCUUUGCAAUGUCUUCAUUCAAAUUCUCAAGAUUUCAUUCCAUCCCAAGUAAUGUCUUCUCUGUGAGGCUGUGAAUUCAAUUUGUGUUGUAAUUCAGCCACUUGCAGGAUGAGACUCUGGGUUUGGUUAUCAGUAAUCUCAGCUCUGCAGCUAUGGGAGGGUUUCUUUCAGGACAGACAUAGAAACUUCCUGGUUAUUUAUGCAGCACUUGUGCUGGGAAUUUGAAGCCAUGAGAUUAUCUUUUUUCCCCCCAAUUUAUCUAGUACAACUAGGAGGAACCAGCCACUCUCAUUAUAUUCAUUAAUUUGACAAAAAUGUUCUAAGGUAUUAUGGUCCCUCAGGGUCUUAUAAAUAUUUUAUUAGUAAUAUGCAUUGGUGAUAUUUUGUGUAUCUCCAUUGCCACACCACACCACAUACUAUCAAUGUGCUCUUUACUACUGAAAAUAGAGUCAUUAGUGCCUUUAAAGCUAACCAGAUUAGAAAACCAAUUUCAGAAACCUUAGAAUCACUUCCAAGAACUGAUCAUUAAGAUUAGAUUUUUCUAGAACCACUAUGUCCAACAAUCUGUAACAGUCAGGGUUAUCUAGAAAAACAUAACCAAAAGGGUAGAGAUUAAGAUGUUAAGGAAUGGGUGCAUGUGUUUAUGGGACUUGUGUCUAAAGUCCACAGUACAGGCCAACUGCUAGAAACUCAGGCAAAAUUUGAAGUUGUAGUGUGGAAUAUCAAAUCUGUAAGAUAAGACAUCAGCCUUGAAACUCAAGCAGUGUUGGUAUGUUACUGUCUUGAGGCAGAAUUCCCUUUUCAAGAAAACAUCAUUUUUGCUCUUUAGGCUGGUCACAUGAGGCCCACCCACAUUUCUGAUGGUAAUCUUUAUCACUCAAAGUCAAUCAAUUGCAUAUUAAUAACGUCUACAAAAUAUCUUUACUGCAAUGUCUAGACUAGUGUUUGAUGAAACAAUUCAGCACUGUAUCUUAACCAAUUUGACACACAAGAUCAACCAUCCCAACACCUAAAAUUCAAAAUCAUGUGCUAAACAGUCACAUGGAAAUGCCUUCAAUAUCAAAAGUUUUUAGGAUUCAACAGUUUACCUAUAAUUAUGGAAGAUAGGCUAUGGAUAUCCUAACUACCUAUUUAUUUUAAUGCUCUUUUUU